CAAAAAAAAAAAACACGUUAAGUUGGCUUCUUCAAUGGUAAUCUUUUCUCGCCCUUCUCUUUCAAAACAAUUAUACAAGAACCUAAGUUUUCUUAUCAGUUUAGCUCCAGAGAUUAAAGACUUUGCUUCCGAUUAAUAUGUGUCUAUUUCUGCGAUUUUUUUUUUAAUUUUUAAUUUUUAGUUCAAAUUGUAAUUCAAUUCUAAUAUAUAUUUAAUAUUCAAAUUUAAUCCAAAUCAAAUAAAAACAUAUAAUUC
rnacentral:lncRNA from 1 species